UAGGGAAUCUUCGGCAAUGGACGAAAGUCUGACCGAGCAACGCCGCGUGAGUGAAGAAGGUUUUCGGAUCGUAAAACUCUGUUGUUAGAGAAGAACAAGGACGUUAGUAACUGAACGUCCCCUGACGGUAUCUAACCAGAAAGCCACGGCUAACUACGUGCCAGCAGCCGCGGUAAUACGUAGGUGGCAAGCGUUGUCCGGAUUUAUUGGGCGUAAAGCGAUCGCAGGCGGUUUCUUAAGUCUGAUGUGAAAGCCCCCGGCUCAACCGAGGAGGGUCAUUGGAAACUGAGAGACUUGAGUGCAGAAGAGGAGAGUGGAAUUCCAUGUGUAGCGGUGAAAUGCGUAGAUAUAUGGAGGAACACCAGUGGCGAAGGCAGCUCUCUAGUCUGUUACUGACGCUGAGGCUCGAAAGCGUGGGGAGCAAACAGG
rnacentral:rRNA from 1 species